rnacentral:other from 2 species
GGUAAUCUGUGAUGUACGAAUUUUCCCUUUUUGUGUUGACCGAACAUUUUAUUGAUAUCUUGGGAUCCGUCCGGUGUUAAAUAUGGUAACAAGCCUUUUCAUUUGGUAGUUCGACUAUUUGACCGUGGAGCCCACCUGCUAACAUUUGCGGGAUCAAUACACCGGGACAAGAAAACGGCAUCUACGGAUUUUAC